AUGUUGGGCCCCCGCGGCGUGACGCGAGCACGGCGGCUCCGCCCCCUGCGUCUCGGGCCUCGCUGGCCUUGGGGGGAUGGUUUCAUCAUGGCGUCAAUGCAGAAACGACUACAAAAAGAACUGUUGGCUUUGCAGAAUGACCCACCUCCUGGAAUGACUUUAAAUGAAAAGAGUGUUCAGAAUUCAAUCACGCAGUCAUGUUUACUGGUGAAAAUAUUCCCAUUCAUCCUCAUGUGUAUAGCAAUGGUCAUAUCUGUUUAUCCAUUCUAACAGAAGACUGGUCCCCGGCGCUCUCAGUGCAGUCAGUCUGUCUCAGCAUUAUCAGCAUGCUUUCCAGCUGCAAAGAAAAGAGACGACCACCAGAUAAUUCCUUUUAUGUGCGAACAUGUAACAAGAAUCCAAAGAAAACAAAAUGGUGGUAUCAUGAUGACACUUGUUGAUGCCGCUGCCCUCCUCCUGUAGCAGAAGAUAGUCCUACUGAGAAAUGAGCACUUUGAUCAUUCAGUCUUUGAACUUUAACCUUUGACUGGAAGUGACCUAUAGGCAAUGAAGACUACUUCCUUUUACUGCAUUUUUACUCGUGUGCAUUCUGGGCGCAUGUUGAUCGCUGGUUCAGUCCAGUCAACCGACAUGCUUUUAUUAGUCAUACAGUAUUAAUGCAGGUGUCAGGAAAUGUCAACUAUAAUUCCAUUUUUUAUUUUUAUUUUUUUAAGCUUUUGGAAAAGUUCCAGGUCCUCGUGUAUUGUGCAAUAACAGUGACUUCCUCAGUGGUUUGGGGACGUUCAUUGCCGGCAAUGGACGUUGUAAAAGGAAGAGUUUUCUUAACUCCUGCCACUUGGUGAUUAAUGCAUGAUAGGGCCUAUGAAAUGAAUUUAUCAGUUGUUGUGGGAUUAUAAGGAAAGUGAGGGAUCCAACAUUACAUUGAAAGCCACCCCAAUUGUUUAUAUUUGGAUUCUAUGCACUGUGAUCCUAAGGCCAACAGCAUGAAAUUACAUGCAUCUUUAAAGGACCGAAAGAAAGAUCAUUGCAUAUUUAUUUAAUUGUUUAUAUCUGCUGUCAAAUUGUUUUGACAUGGAAAGUUUUCGAGGAACAUUGGCAGAGAGGUACAAUAUGUUAUCCCUAUGGUGAAAAUAAAUUCAUUUGUUGUAUAUACUCCUCAGUCUCUGAAGUGAAGGUGUGAAUAAUAGAGUGUGGAUGGUUAACCAAGGUGUUGUUUGGAAGUAAAAGAAAAAAUGGCAGUGAUGAUUAAAUUACUGCCAUCCAUCAUUUGGGCCUGUUAUUAUUUUUCCAAGUAUAUUAUACUCUGUUACUUCCUGCUAGCCAUCAGCAUGAGCCCUAUUGCCUAAACACUAUUUCAUUUAUUUAUGUUUGGAAAAAAUCCAUAAACAUUUUUGUUUGUAAUCUUGUUUCUUUUGUUAUGUUUUCAGUUGUUUAAAUGUUAUAAUACUUUAAUUGAAAGAAUUUUGUCAAGUUUUUUUUUCUUGUAAAUUUUCUUUACUUGUAUCAUCUUGUCCUUCAAUACUGUACCCUAAAAUAAGAAAUACAUUUUUGACAGAGGCUUAAUGUUUUAACAAAAGAGUGUGGACAUUUUUAUUUUAAGAUUUUGGUAAAAGGAUACUAUAAAAACAAUGUUUGCUUAUUUGUCUCACUUACCCAUUGUGUAGGGUUUCUUGGAAGAACUUGUUUUGUUUGUUGAGAAGAUUUUGCCUACAGUUAGAUGAAGUUUUUCUGUCUGCCUGUCUGUCUGUCUCUACUCUUAUCUAUCUGUAUGUAUGUAGGUAUCUAUCUAUCAUCUCUCUCUCUGAUCUAUAAAACAAUUGUUGAGAAGGUUCCAUCCUAAAUACCAUGUACCAUGUAAUGAUUAUAUAACUAGGUCUUUUUAAGAAGUGAUUAAUGUAUUUUAUAAAUUACCUUUUCACAUAUGCAAGCUCUGUUUCUAUGACAAUGUUAUUUUUACUGAUGCCUUACUGUUAUAGUCUUUUUGAAUAUCCUGCAGUGAAUAUAUUAAUCAAUUUGGGCUAAAAAUAAAAGCCAGUUGGCUGAAAGGUCUGACGGUAUGUAAACCCAUAAAAAAAUCAUUCAACUGAUAAUUGGUAAAGAAUAUUUUAAAAAUUGUUUUUAACCUCUGUGUAGAUGACAUUUUGUAGCUUUUUACAUGUUGUUAAUUAAGGGCAUAUAAUUUUACACUCUAAAAGUAUAACUGCUGAACUCAGGGGUGGGUAGACUUCAAAAAUAUGUCUACUGUAGAAAUAACUUGAAAAAAAUUAAAUCCAUGGCCAGCCACCAAAUUGUGGACACUGUUUAUAAAACUAGGGAGCAAUCAUCAUUUUUUAAAGAUUAUAAACGUUUUCUUCUGUCUUGACUGCAUGUAUAUAAGUUCCCACAGUAACCAUUAUCAGUUUUAUUAGUUGGCCUUCUUGACAUGAAAAAAAUCUUUACGUUCUUACGUUUCUUCUGCUUUUACGAUGAAAUCACAGCUGUAAGUUAAGUUUAUGUCACUGCUCUAAAUAUUAAUUAGCUCUUUUGUCGGGUUGGGGACACAGGGAGAAACACUUACCUAUCCGUGGUCCUCUUACUAAAAUCCUGGCCUGUGACGUCACUCACCGAAGGAGCUCCCACACCAGGUCAGCAGCAACAGUGCUGGAAUGUAGAUCACCAGCUUCCGUUGUGCUUUUAUAACAGUGCUUUACUAUACCUCUCUCUAUGCAGACACUGUAGGGCAGACGCAAAUGAAAUGGGAAAUAGGGAAAAACCAAACACUUUUGCUUCAUGUUUGGUACCAAGAGAAGAAAUUAAAAAUAUAUCUAAAAUAGUGGAGCAUCAACUAUUACUAAUUCAUAAUUAGAUUAAUAUUACUCCUUUGAAUUUAGAAGCCACUGAAAAUUCUUUUACACUUGCAUUUAAUUAUUUGUCAUUAUUAAGAGUCAUAAGAUGUGUAUCUGGGUCAUUGUUCUGUUGAGGGCAAGUUAUAAAACAAAUAUUUUGCUGUAAUGUUAACUACUGAAAGAGCCAGAAUUACAAGAAAUGCAUAUGAA
rnacentral:lncRNA from 1 species